UACGAAGGGUGCAAACGUUGCUACGGAAUUAUUGGGCGUAAAGCGCACGUAGGCGGCAUUGCAAGUCGGAUGUGAAAUCCCUCGGCUCAACCAAGGAAGUGCAUCCGAAACUGCUGUGCUUGAGUACUUAAGAGGAUCGCGGAAUUCCCGGUGUAGAGGUGAAAUUCGUAGAUAUCGGGAAGGAACACCAGUGGCGAAGGCGGCGACCUGGGCCAAUACUGGACGCUGAGGUGGCGAAGGCGUGGGGAGCGAACGGG
rnacentral:rRNA from 1 species